GAGGGGCGGGGGGAGGCCGGUUCUCCCCGCUGUGAGGGGCGGCUCUGCCCGUCUGAGCUCAACCUGUGGCUUUGCCCCGCGUGAGGGGCGGGGGGAGGCUCGUUCUCCCCGGUGCGAGAGGCGGCUCCGCCCGUCUGAAGGACAGUGUGUGGUUUUGCUGGUUCUCCCCGCUGUGAGGGGCCGAGGGUCCGUUCUACCCCGAGCACUGCCGAAUAGAAAAAAGCGGAGUUGCCGCUGUGGAGAACCGAGGGGAAACAGCGGGGACAGGGCGCCUAAGCAGCGCCCCCCCUUCCCCCAGGAAGCAGCCCUCAGAGGUGUGUUUAAGCUCGCUUAGCAAUGAGCUCCUUUCAGAGAAGGAAAGAGCUGGGGUGCUGAGCGUUGUUUAUGUGAACACGGGCAAAUAGCUGUGGCAGAUGAAGACAUCAUCGGACCAAGACUCUCCAGCUCCCUGACAGGAGGAAAUAACCAAAGAGCUCAAAACUGCUCUGGUCCCCCUCCCCAGACUGCACAGCAGCACCCAUUUGCCCAGGACCACCCGAGGGCACCAAGGCAGCAGAUACAUCUUCACAUCAGUGGAUCAGUGAGCUACAGCUUGCUCUGUUUUGCCACCAGAACAUCCUCCAGCUAGACAGCAAAGCCCAGCCUUAGGAAAACUGUGACUGUCUGUGCCAGAACUUCUGUCUAGCUCACUGUGAUUAAUAGACCUCGGUCUAUAAUGAACGAGUAUUGAUAUCAUAACACACUUCCUAAGGAAGGUGCUUUUUCAGACUAUCCAGAAGCAAUCUACAGACCCCUAAAAGUUAUAGGCAGGCUGAAAAUGGAGAUAGUUCUCCCAGCACUGCCAACAAAAUAACUUAUGGAGUAGUGUUUUCCCUGGAGAGCUCACAUGAGUAACAACAGAACAAAGUGUUUCCGGGAGAAUUAUCCUGAUUUAUAUUUAGCCUGGAUUGACCUAUUUCAGCGUGCAGUCAUAUGUACACCCUUCUACCUGGCCCCAUCCUCCCUGUGAGCUGCUGAGUGAGUGUUCCUGUGGUCACAGAAUGCAACAGGCACGGAGGAACCUCUAAUGAAAGACACCAGACAAAGAUUUUAUGGCUGACUGAUUCAAUAGGAAACCAAAAAAAUCAAGUAAGGAAAAGCAUAUGACACAAAAAUGUACAAAAAGUCAAUGUAUUCCUGACAACAAAGCUGUCAGGAAUAUGCCUGAUAACUUCCCUGGACACAUGAUGGCAGUGAUAUGGGUAACUUCAGAAAUAAAAAGGAAAUCACCUGGAAAUCACAUUAGCCCCAGAGUCCUCCUCAACCCCUCCUCACAUUGCCUGGGGGAUGUGCUUUUUGUCCUGGUUAGGCUCGGCAGUAUAUUUUCUGAUUUUUGCUUUGUAGUUGUGCUGAGGUCAACAAGCUUCUCAGGCAUAUUUAAGUCAAAACUUGGUCAAAACCAAACCCCUUGGUUUGGUUGGUGUUUACUUUAUGACUGUUCAUUGACAUCCAGGGCUGCCCUUCCCAAGAGCCACAAGCAGAAAAUGUAGGAUCUCCAACUAUACAUCUGCCACAGAUAAAAAGUUAACAAUAACCUGACAGGGUGUGGAAAAAAUCAGGUAAACCAGAGGCAUAAUUCAAAACUAUUCCACAAAUCAGUUAAUCCUGUCCCCAAACAAACAUUCAAAUUGUAAGAAUCCAGAAAGAUGUAGGUGUUUCUUCUGAAAUAAUAUUUUUAGAUUAAGACUAAUUUUUAGAUUUUUUUAGAUUAAUUUUUUUAGAUUAAGACUAGAUUUUAAGACUACAGCCUCAGAGUAGAGGCAAUCUGUUCUCAUUAGUUCCUUUUAGAAGACAAAAACAAUUUUGAUGGUUUCAGACAUAUUUAGAGUACUCUGUACGUAUGUGCUUUAUAUAUGUCAUGGCAAACCAUCAUGAUAGAAGGUUAUUGUCAAGCAAACAUUAUUUCAGGAUACAGAGACACUGCUAUGCCGUUAUUAAUGAAACAUAUUUAGUAGUUGGUUUUAAUUUUCCUUCUGUUUUAGCUUGCUUCCUUCUAGAGAGCCUGUCUGACUGUUUCUGUGCCUCCAGACAGCUGCCAUCCCACUCUGGCAACCU